rnacentral:rRNA from 1 species
UUUUAUGGAGAGUUUGAUCCUGGCUCAGGAUGAACGCUGGCGGCGUGCCUAAUACAUGCAAGUCGAGCGAACGGACGAGAAGCUUGCUUCUCUGAUGUUAGCGGCGGACGGGUGAGUAACACGUGGAUAACCUACCUAUAAGACUGGGAUAACUUCGGGAAACCGGAGCUAAUACCGGAUAAUAUUUUGAACCGCAUGGUUCAAAAGUAAAAGACGGUCUUGCUGUCACUUAUAGAUGGAUCCGCGCUGCAUUAGCUAGUUGGUAAGGUAACGGCUUACCAAGGCAACGAUGCAUAGCCGACCUGAGAGGGUGAUCGGCCACACUGGAACUGAGACACGGUCCAGACUCCUACGGGAGGCAGCAGUAGGGAAUCUUCCGCAAUGGGCGAAAGCCUGACGGAGCAACGCCGCGUGAGUGAUGAAGGUCUUCGGAUCGUAAAACUCUGUUAUUAGGGAAGAACAUAUGUGUAAGUAACUGUGCACAUCUUGACGGUACCUAAUCAGAAAGCCACGGCUAACUACGUGCCAGCAGCCGCGGUAAUACGUAGGUGGCAAGCGUUAUCCGGAAUUAUUGGGCGUAAAGCGCGCGUAGGCGGUUUUUUAAGUCUGAUGUGAAAGCCCACGGCUCAACCGUGGAGGGUCAUUGGAAACUGGAAAACUUGAGUGCAGAAGAGGAAAGUGGAAUUCCAUGUGUAGCGGUGAAAUGCGCAGAGAUAUGGAGGAACACCAGUGGCGAAGGCGACUUUCUGGUCUGUAACUGACGCUGAUGUGCGAAAGCGUGGGGAUCAAACAGGAUUAGAUACCCUGGUAGUCCACGCCGUAAACGAUGAGUGCUAAGUGUUAGGGGGUUUCCGCCCCUUAGUGCUGCAGCUAACGCAUUAAGCACUCCGCCUGGGGAGUA